rnacentral:rRNA from 1 species
GUGUCAGCAGCCGCGGUAAUACGUAGGUGGCAAGCGUUGUCCGGAUUUAUUGGGCGUAAAGCGCGCGCAGGCGGUUCGUUGCGUCCGAGGUGAAAUCUCCUGGCUCAACUGGGAGGGGUCUUCGGAUACGGGCGGACUUGAGGAGAGCAGAGGUGAGUGGAAUUCUCGGUGUAGUGGUGAAAUGCGUAGAUAUCGAGAGGAACACCAGUGGCGAAGGCGACUCACUGGGCUCCACCUGACGCUGAGGCGCGAAAGCGUGGGGAGCGAACCGGAUUAGAUACCCCUGUAGUCC